ensembl:lncRNA
GGAGAGGUCUGUCUGUGAUAAAGAGAUGGGGAGAGGUCUGUCUGUAAUAAAGAGAUGGGGAGAGGUCUGUCUGUAAUAAAGAGAUGGGGAGAGGUCUGUCUGUAAUAAAGAGAUGGGGAGAGGUCUGUCUGUAAUAAAGAGAUGGGGAGAGGUCUGUCUGUAAUAAAGAGAUGGGGAGAGGUCUGUCUGUAAUAAAGAGAGGGGGAGAGGUCUGUCUGUAAUAAAGAGAUGGGGAGAGGUCUGUCUGUAAUAAAGAGAUGGGGAGAGGUCUGUCUGUAAUAAAGAGAUGGGGAGAGGUCUGUCUGUAAUAAAGAGAGGGGGAGAGGUCUGUCUGUAAUAAAGAGAUGGGGAGAGGUCUGUCUGUAAUAAAGAGAUGGGGAGAGGUCUAGCCAUAACACAGAGAUGGGGAGAGGUCUGUCUGUAAUAAAGAGAUGGGGAGAGGUCUGUGUGUAAUAGAUGGGGAGAGGUCUGUGUGUAAUAAAGAGAUGGGGAGAGGUCUGUGUGUAAUAAAGAGAUGGGGAGAGGUCUGUGUGUAAUAAAGAGAUGGGGAGAGGUCUGUCUGUAUUAAAGAGAUGGGGAGAGGUCUGUCUGUAAUAAAGAGAUGGGGAGAGGUCUGUCUGUAAUAAAG